AGAUUGAACGCUGGCGGCAGGCCUAACACAUGCAAGUCGAGCGGCAGCACGGGUACUUGUACCUGGUGGCGAGCGGCGGACGGGUGAGUAAUGCCUAGGAAUCUGCCUGGUAGUGGGGGAUAACGCUCGGAAACGGACGCUAAUACCGCAUACGUCCUACGGGAGAAAGCAGGGGACCUUCGGGCCUUGCGCUAUCAGAUGAGCCUAGGUCGGAUUAGCUAGUUGGUGGGGUAAUGGCUCGACCAAGGCGACGAUACCGUAACUGGUC
rnacentral:rRNA from 1 species